rnacentral:rRNA from 1 species
UAGGGAAUCUUCGGCAAUGGACGAAAAUCUGACCGAGCAACGCCGCGUGAGUGAAGAAGGUUUUCGGAUCGUAAAACUCUGUUGUUAGAGAAGAACAAGGGUGAGAGUAACUGUUCACCCCUUGACGGUAUCUAACCAGAAAGCCACGGCUAACUACGUGCCAG